UCAGGUCUGAUUGGCUGAUGAUCUGUCUGAUCCACAGGUACUUUUUCUGUCCUUUCCAUCAUGGUCGGUACAGUGACUGGUGAUGUUGUGUUGGCAGGCCAGGCAGUGGAGCAGAGAGUGCUGAGAUUGUGGCUGAAAGUGUCAAGAGUUGCCUUUGCAGCUCAGUUGACCAUUCUGUGUGGACUGAUACAGGUCAUUCACACACAAACUGUAUUAAUUCUGUAUUGGUGUGUGUGUUUGUGUAUAAAUCUCUCUCCCUAUGUGGAUGGGUGUGUCGGUGGUUGUCUCAGCCAUUGGUCAGUGGAUACACUACAGCAGCUGCUGUCCAUGUGAUGGUUCACCAGCUGCCUUUACUGAUGGGCAUCUCCACAGUCAGACACAGAGGCAUCUUUGCUGUGUUCUGGGUCAGAAUGAGCACUGUGUGAUUUAUAUCUGUGUUCAUUUCAGAUGUUAAAUGUACACACAGUAUGUGUGUCCACCAGAUGUUUUCAAACAUUGUGACUGGAAUCAGGAGAGUGUUACUGGCGACACUGGUAGUGUCCUUUGUCUCCCUGGUGGUACUUGUUGGUGGAGAGAUGGUGAAUUCACUCUGGAGCACUCGAUUUCUAAUUCCAUGGGAGUUGGUACUGAUUAUCUUUGCCACUCUGUCAUCAGUGCAGUUUGAUCUGUCCGGUCAGUAUGGAAUACAGAUUGUUGGACCCAUACCAACCAGAGUGUUGGAUUUUCUUUACAAAACCAAUUAUCAGGAAGUAUUUAGGUGCUAA
rnacentral:lncRNA from 1 species